UAGCAAGACAGGUUUCAGUGAGAUCCCUCAUAAAUACCUGAUUGCUGUUAAAAGGCUCUACUCAGACAUGGUGCAUCAUUAGAUUAAGUUAUUUUUCUACAAGUUGCAGUACUAAAUAAUGUCUGAUUUAUUUACUCACUUCACAGGCUCAAGUUUC